rnacentral:rRNA from 1 species
AGUGAACGCUGGCGGUAGGCCUAACACAUGCAAGUCGAACGGCAGCACAGUAAGAGCUUGCUCUUACGGGUGUCGAGUGUCGGACGGGUGAGGAAUACAUCGGAAUCUACUUUUUCGUGGGGGAUAACGUAGGGGAACUUACGCUAAUACCGCAUACGACCUACGUGUGAAAGCAGGGGAUCUUCGGACCUUGCGCGAUUGAAUGAGCCGAUGUCGGAUUAGCUAGUUGGCGGGGUAAAGGCCCACCAAGGCGACGAUCCGUAGCUGGUCUGAGAGGAUGAUCAGCCACACUGGAACUGAGACACGGUCCAGACUCCGACGGGAGGCAGCAGUGGGGAAUAUUGGACAAUGGGCGAAAGCCUGAUACAGCCAUACCGCGUGGGUGAAGAAGGCCUUCGGGUUGUAAAGCCAUUUUGUUGGGAAAGAAAAGAAGCAGGUUAAUACCCCGCUGUUAUGACGGUACCGAAAGAAUAAGCACCGGCUAACUUCGUG